rnacentral:rRNA from 1 species
CCUACGGGAGGCUGCAGUGAGGAAUAUUGGUCAAUGGACGAGAGUCUGAACCAGCCAAGUAGCGUGAAGGAUGACUGCCCUAUGGGUUGUAAACUUCUUUUAUAUGGGAAUAAAAUGUUCCACGUGUGGGAUUUUGUAUGUACCAUAUGAAUAAGGAUCGGCUAACUCCGUGCCAGCAGCCGCGGUAAUACGGAGGAUCCGAGCGUUAUCCGGAUUUAUUGGGUUUAAAGGGAGCGUAGGUGGAUUGUUAAGUCAGUUGUGAAAGUUUGCGGCUCAACCGUAAAAUUGCAGUUGAAACUGGCAGUCUUGAGUACAGUAGAGGUGGGCGGAAGUCGUGGUGUAGCGGUGAAAUGCUUAGAUAUCACGAAGAACUCCGAUUGCGAAGGCAGUUCACUGGACUGCAACUGACACUGAGGCUCGAAAGUGUGGAUAUCAAACAGGAUUAGAUACCCGGGUAGUC